rnacentral:rRNA from 1 species
GAUGAACGCUCGCUACAGGCUUAACACAUGCAAGUCGCGGGGCAGCAUGGGGGUUGCUUGCACUCCCCGAUGGCGACCGGCGCACGGGUGAGUAACGCGUAUCCAACCUGCCCUUCACCACGGGAUAACCCGGCGAAAGUCGGACUAAUACCGUAUGUUGUCCAUUGACGGCAUCCGAUUUGGACGAAAGGUUUGGCGGUGAAGGAUGGGGAUGCGUCCGAUUAGCUGGACGGCGGGGUGACGGCCCACCGUGGCGACGAUCGGUAGGGGUUCUGAGAGGAAGGUCCCCCACACUGGAACUGAGACACGGUCCAGACUCCUACGGGAGGCAGCAGUGAGGAAUAUUGGUCAAUGGGCGUAAGCCUGAACCAGCCAAGUAGCGUGCAGGAGGACGGCCCUAUGGGUUGUAAACUGCUUUUAUGCGGGGAUAAAGUGGCCCACGUGUGGGUUUUUGCAGGUACCGCAUGAAUAAGGACCGGCUAAUUCCGUG